UUCGUUCAGUCCUCUCCUUCCGUCGUUCCAGCCGGUAGCCGCAAGCCCCUCCCCUCAGCUCACGUCGCUCGCACCAAUGGCAUGAGACCGACCAGCUGCCUCCUCCACGCCACUCCCUCCCAAGCACGCGCUGACCGAGGUCGCACCGUGCGCUCGCCGUCGUGACGGCCGCGUCGCUGCUCAUGCUCGUCGUGGCGUUCUUGGUUGGCUUUGGCUUCGAUCUGCCAUAGUGGUUUGGGGUUGUGGCCAGAUCCGUAGAAGGCCAUGGCUACGCGGCCAGAUCUGUGGAAGGCCAUGGCGACGUCGGCCAUGGCUACAAGGCCACUAGACAGAUCCUGUGGUGAUGGAUGGGUGGAAGGCGUGGCCGGAUCUAGAGAAGACACUACUUGGAUGUGUGUUCUUGGCCGGCCGAGCUUCAUUCGCAGGUGCCGUAUGCAGGUGGAUCUUUUGUUUCUCUUCUGGUACUACUCAUACAUAUUCUGUCCAUUAUCUUUUCAAUUAUGAUGUGAAUCUGAAUGAGUAGCAUGGUUCGGCUUGCUUGUGCAGUAUCCUCACCCAGACAUUUGUGCCGCAAAUGUUGUUUUUAAGUUUGCCGUUAGAUGCAUCCUUAGUAGUCUAUUCUAAUAUUGAUUUUUACUGAUCUUUUUUGUUUUUUACAUGCAUCUUGCUUACUACUGACUUGUUCUUUUUACAAAAAUUAUUAGAUCUGCUGGUGUACACCUCAUGGUCCUUCCUGUCGUGUCUUCUGGUAAGCGCAUCGUUGGCCCAUGUUAGCAUCUCUAGAAGUGCAGGUUUAUCCCUUAAAAAAAACUACAGGUUUAUCCCUUGAAAAAAACGAACUGCAGGUUUACUAUCUUUGUUGGGCUUUAAAUAUUCACAGAUUUGCAAUACGUUAUCCAUUACACUCUUGUAUGCAGUAUUGGACAACUAUGGCAUGAAUACUGAAGCUUAUUGUGGAACCAUGACUUGCAGGAAUUCAGAAGCUUAGCAUGGAACCAUGAUGGGAGGAACUAGUAGUAGUGUAAUGUUAAUGAAGUCAAGGAGGUCAUGUGUCAUAUUUGUUAUGGGCAAAUCACUCUUAGGAUCAUAUAUUUCUGUCUACUUGUGUUGCACGAUGUGGUGUUUUAUGAAACUUUGUAUCUCAUUUUAUGUGAUGUUUUGUAAACAUGAGAUCUUAUGUGUUGCUGGAUUGAGCUUAUGCAAUUGAAAAUGAGC
rnacentral:lncRNA from 1 species